UACAGAGGUCCCGAGCGUUGUUCGGAUUCACUGGGCGUAAAGGGUGCGUAGGUGGUGAGGUAAGUCGGAUGUGAAAUCUCCGAGCUCAACUCGGAAAUGGCAUUGGAAACUACCUUGCUAGAGGGUUGGAGGGGGGACUGGAAUGACUUGGUGUAGCAGUGAAAUGCGUAGAUAUCAAGUGGAACACCAGUGGCGAAGGCGAGUCCCUGGACAACUCCUGACACUGAGGCACGAAAGCUAGGGGAGCAAACAGG
rnacentral:rRNA from 1 species